CACAAUAGAAUGGCUAUAAGGGCGGUCGGCUAAUCCUCCGGGAAAGGAGGAUGAUGCCAUGUCGGUAUUCGAAGCACUUACGCUUAUGAUUGCGUUCGCGACUCUCGUAUUACUGAUUAAGAAAGAGAAAUAGACCGCCCACGGAAAGGAUCGGUCUAUUCACUGGUCUAGCUUUAUCCGAAAGCCACCGCCCUUAGAGCGGCAUUUGUGCAAGGAGUCGUGUUCCAGCACGGCU
rnacentral:sRNA from 1 species